CAGGACAUCCCCAGAAGGUCCCAGGUCCAUCCAGAAGGUCCCAGGUCCAUCCAGAAGGUCGCUCCUCAGGCCCCACGUCAAUCUGUACUGGGAGCCCCGAUCCGUACUGGUCCAUACUGGGAGCCCUGAUCUAUACUGGUCCGUACUGGUCCAUACUGGGAGCCCUAAUCUGCACUGGUCCGUACUGGGAGCACUGGUCCAUACUGGGAGCCCUGAUCCGUACUGGUCCGUACUGGGAGCACUGGUCUGUACUGGGAGCUCUAAUCUGUACUGGGAGCCCUGAUCCAUACUGGUCUGUACUGGGAGCUCUGAUCUAUACUGGUCUGUACUGGGAGCCCCGACCCGUACUGGUUUGUACUGGUCCAUACUGGUGGGAGACGCGGGAUCUUUCUGGAAAGUUUUUAAUCUAGAACCUGGAAAAAGAAGGUCCCAGGUCCAUCGAGAACAUCCCAAGCUCCAUCCAGAAGGUCCCAGGUCCAUUGAGAACAUCCCAAAGCUCCAUCCACGAUGGCCCCAGAAGAUCCCAGGUCCAUCCAGAAGAUCUCGGGUCCAUCCAGGACAUCCCCAGAAGGUCCCAGGUCCAUCCAGAAGGUCCCCAGAAGGUCCCAGGUCCAUCCAGAAGAUCUCGGGUCCAUCCAGAAGAUCCCCAGAAGGUCCCAGGUCCAUUGAGAACAUCCCAAAGCUCCAUCCAGGACAUCCCCAGAAGGUCCCAGGUCCAUCCAGAAGGUCCCAGGUCCAUCCAGAAGGUCCCAGGUCCAUCCAGAAGGUCGCUCCUCAGGCCCCACGGGGCCUCAACCCCCCAUCCCUCCCCAACAUCCCCAUCGAAUCCACGCCAUCGUCCCCCCGCUUGGGUCCACGUGGCUCCACCCCGUGAAGGUGGUGGCCCCACCUCGUGAAGGUGAUG
rnacentral:lncRNA from 1 species